rnacentral:snRNA from 1 species
AUACCUACCUGGCAAGGGAGAUACCAAAGGUGGUUUUCGCAGAGUGAGGCUCAUCCAUUGCACUCCGAGUGUACUGACCCCUGCGAUUUCCCCAAAUGCGUGAAACUCGACUGCAUAAUUUGUGGUAGUGGGGAACUGCGUU